ensembl:lncRNA
UGCGAUGUCACUUAUCCCCACAGUUGCUGGCACAUUCUGAUUCCCUUGUAAGUUUUGCAUGAAGUCCAUUGUGUUGCUACACAGAAGAGCCACUGGACAUAACACACAUAUUCCACAGCUAUCUGCAUCAGCUUGUGAGUGUGAUACGAGCAGAUUCCUGUCACCAUCAUCACUGCUGAAAACAAGAGCCAAGGAAAAUAGAAAGAGUGAGUGUUUCAUCAUAGAUAGUUAAAUAAAGCCAGUGAGUAAUCCUAGGUUACCAACAAACACUAAUAAUAGCAAGCCAGAUUUCUUCUCUGCAAAUGAACCUGACGCUUCUGCUCUCAGUCUGCCUUCAAAGGCUGCUCCAGAUCUGUGGCCAAAGGACUGUGCAUUGUGGAGACACUGCAUACAGAAGGACUCAGCCCAAAAGACAAGAACUGACAAAUCAGGUGUCAUCAGAGACCUCAGAAAGCACCAGGAAUGUAUCAGCAUGUCACCAGUAUCAAUUAAUGGUUAAUUCUGAUUCCAAAUGUCUGGCAAGAACAUCUCAGUACCUGGGAAAAACCUGUGGGACAUGUUCUUUUUUUUCCACUUAAAAAUAAGUUAAAGUGGGCUUCGGGGUUGAGAAAACACAGUAAGUUCAGCAGUAGAAAACACUGAAGUCAAGUGGCAAACCUAAGAUGCUGGUUUUAUGGUCUGGGGUUUUGUUUGCUCUGCUUUCUGGUACCUACUAUGUGGUCUCAAUUCCAGCCCAUACUGACCCCAGGAACUCAGAGGACACAUGUCUGAUGUGAAUCCAGGUGAUUUUGAAUGUACACAAAGACAGAAUCCAAGUUGCAUGCCUAAUGCAGGAGAGUAAUUAAGUAGUCCUUAAGUAGCAAAAGUGGCCUAUAUCCCCAACAAACGCAUUAAUCCCUACCACAUUGAUUGUCACUGUGAUUAGGCCUUUAGUCCAUUUCUAAACUCAGUACUGUGAUAAUACAGAUGGCUAUCAUGAUUGGAAGGUCUGAAGUUAUAUUCUAACCAAUCAAGCUUGUCUCCAGAGCACUUAGGUAUGGAAAGUUUUACGACUCUUAGGAAAGUUGAAGAGCUUUACACCAAAGUAUGUUUUGGUAGAAAGUGACAAGUGGGUAUUCAUAGCUUAAGAGAUAAUCACUGUGAGGCCAGCUUUAUAGGAGAACACUAAAAAUUCCAAGCAGGAGACAUGCUGUGUAAUUUACAUUUGAAUAUUGUAAGGAUGGUUUGGGACAUUUAUCUUGUGAAGAACCCCAAAGUGCAUUUUACACAAUUUAAAAAUAAUGCAUCCAGGUUUUAUGUAUUAAUGAAUCUGUAACUGUUUUGUUAAAGUCUAUAGAAUCAGAAAGAUACAUGAUGAAUGCUGAAGUCCCAGAGAAAUCCUAGCGAGCUACUGGUCUUCUGUCUACACUGCAAUAUGGAAGAAGUAGGUUCUGCUCAGCAACAAAAUAGAUGAACUUGCCAAUAAAAGUGAAGAAUACAAAUAGAUCCAUCCUCAACUCCAAAUGCAUCAAAGACAUCAACGCAAAACCAGGUACACUGAACCAGAUAGAAGAGAAAGUGCAAAGUUUCCUUGAACUCAUUGGCACAGGAGAAGACUUUCUGGACAGAACACCAUUAGCAUAGAUAACAAGAUCAACAAUUAAUAAAUAGGACUUCAUGAAACUGAAAAGUUUCUGUAAGGCAAAGUUCAGCAUCAUUCAGACACAGUGGCAGCUUACAGAAUAAGAAAAGAUUUUUAUCAACUCUACAUCCAAUAGAGGACUAAUAUCCAAAAUAUAUAAAGAACACAAGACAUCAGAUACCAAAAUAACAAUCCAAUUUUAAAACUAAUUUAUAAAUUUAAACGGAGAAUUAUUAAAAGAAGAAACUCAAAUGGCCAAAACACUUAGAGAACUGUUCAACAUCCUUAGUCAUCAAAGAAAUGCAAAUGAAAAGCACUUUGAGAUUCCAUCUUAUACCUGUCAGAAUGGCUCAGAUCAAUAAACACAAAUGAAAGCUCAUGCUCAUAAGGAUGUGGAAUAAGUGGAGCAUUCCCCCAUUGCUAGUGGGAGUGCAAACUUGCAAGCCGCUAUGGAAAUCAGUAUGGUGGUUCUUCACAAAGAUGGGAAUUGAUCUACUUCAGUAUCCAACUGUACCACUCUUGGGCAUACACCCAAAUGAUGCUUCUUCCUACCAUAAGGACACUUGCUCAAGAAUCAUUUCCAUUCAUAAUACUCAGAAAUUGCAAACACCCUAGAUGCCCCUCAACAGAAGAAUGGAUAAAGAAAAUAUGGUACAUUUAUACAAUGGAGUAUUACACAGCUAUGUUUUUUUUAAUGGCAUCACAAAAUUUACAGGCAAAUGGAUGGAAGUAGAAAAAAAAUCAUCCUGAGUAAGGUAGCCCAGACCCAGAAAGAUUAAAUAUGUUGUGUAUUUGCUUAUACCUGUAUAUAGGACAUUAAAUAAAUGACAAUCAAUUUCUAUUUCAUAGACCAAGAAAGGUUGGGUAUAGAGGAAGGGACUAGAAGGAAACACAUGGAUUUCCUUGGGAGAUGGAAAUAGAAUACAUUUUAUGAGUUUCCUGGGGGCAAUGGAAGGACAGAAAUGAGUAUGCGGUAGGGAGAGAGAGAUAAGAUGGAUUUGAGUGAGGGAAUGUAGAUAGAGACUGCUGGAAUUAAAUCAAACUUCCUAAAAUAUAUGAAAGCAGGGUGUCGGUGGUGCAUGGCUUUAAUCCCAGCACUCAAGAGGCAGGCAGAUCUCUGUGAGUUCGAGGCCACCCUGGUCUACAGAGAGAGUUCCAGGACAACCUCAAAGCUACACAGAGAAAGCCUGUCUGGAAAAAAAACUUAAAAUAUAUGAAUGUGAUCCAGAUAUCAGAUGAAGUCUCCAAAUAAUGAGGGAAACAGAGUCCCAAGUGGCCAUCUCUUGUCACCAAAUGAAUCUUCCAGUACAGGAAAUGGGUUACAUCCAACUGAGUUGUUGGACAAAGGGAUCCCAUGGGAAUCUCCAAACAACCAAGGCUGUUGCCAUGAUCAGAGAAGCAGAACAUGGGAACAAACACAGAUAUUUCACACACACACACACACACACACACACACACACACACACACACAGAGAGAGAGAGAGAGAG